AGGAAAGUCCACAAUUUUUGUCCAAACACUGAAGAGCCAGAAAAUCCCAUAAUUCUUAGUCCAUGAAGAUAAAAGACAAAACAAGAGGAAUCAAUGAUGCUGCACCAGUCCAAGAUCAAAGGCCUGUAAGUUCACUGGAGUCUCUAGUUUGAAGCUGUGUUCGAAACCUGAAGAAACUGGAGAUCUGAAAAUCAGUGUCCAAAAAUGAAGACAGCACAAAGUGCACCUAGUCAAGAAGACUGCCCCUCUUCAGAAUGAGCACACUUCGUUCUUCUUUUUCUUUUUAUUCCAUCAAGGCCAGCACCCAUCUGUAGUGCCCCUCACAUUCAAGGAUCUUAUCACAAUAAGGACUAAAUUCUCUCCUUAUGCGAGUGUGGAAAGGAGC
rnacentral:lncRNA from 1 species